rnacentral:tRNA from 1 species
GCCUUCGUGGUGUAACGGUAACACACUUUGUGAGUAUUCGAGAGGUCCAGGUUCGAGUCCCGGCGAGGGCA